CUCAGCUGGAGAAGCAAUACAAACUACACCAACACCUGUAGUGGCUGUGACAUCUGGACAAACAUCGGCUACCACAGCAGCAACCACUCCAUCAGUUUCAGUGUCAGGAAGUACUGUAACAAUAGGAAAAUUGACUGUGACAUCUGGCCAGACCACUAGGGUGAAUUCCACAUCUGGCCAAUAACCAGAAGUGAAGGAGACAUCCACACCUUCAGUAGGGAACACAGUGGGAUCCACUGUAGUUUCACACCAAACUACAAUUUCCUCUGGCCCUACAACCACAACUGGACAGUCAUCAAUAGAAACUGCAACAACACCAAGAGUGACUGUGACAUCUGGCCAGACCACUAGGGUGAAUUCCACAUCUGUGCAAGCACCUGAAGUGAAGGAGACAUCCACACCUUCAGUAGGGAACACAGUGGGAUCCACUGUAGUUUCACACCAAACUACAAUUUCCCCUACAAUGACAACUGGGCAGUCAUCAACACAUGGACUACAAACAAGUACAGAAACUGCUAGGGGAACAGGGACAACUGUUGUGACAACCAUAGUUACCAAGAGAACUUCACAAUCCCUUGGACAAUCAGAAACUACUACAUCCCCAAUUAAAGCACCAGAAACAACUAAGGUAUCAGUAAUUGACACAAGUAAACCUGGGUUGUCAACAGGAGUAACCUUACGAAAUGUUUCAUCCAUUGGAGAAUCAGCUACUACUGUUUCCUCAGCUAAAGUGGUAUUAACUACUAGGGUAACAGUUACUGGCUCAGGAACUGUCAAUUCAUCAACUGCAUUUACAGAGACAACUGCAUCUUAUGAUAGAAAAUCAUUUUCAACUGGAUCAGUAGCUGGAGUGUCCAUUUCAUCUGGACCAACACCUGCAGCUACUGGUGUUUCUAGAUCUCCAUCUGUAGGUUCACCUUCUAUAAGUACAAUUAGUGAUUUGACUUCAACAUUGAAACCGUCACCUGGAGUCACUGUACCAUUUGAGAUUUCACCUGGAAGCACAGUGCUAUCCAGUUCAUUCACUGAAGUUCCCGGAAGAACUGUUCCAGCUGAUGAAGGAACUACAAGCAGAAGAAAUAAUACUGGAGUAGCAGGAACUGAGUCUACAACAAGUAAAGGGACCACUGGUGCAGUCUCCAGGAAAACUGAAGAACCAGUGAGGUCUACU
rnacentral:lncRNA from 1 species